rnacentral:rRNA from 1 species
GAACCGUCCAAACGUUAUUCGGAAUCAUUGGGCUUAAAGGGUGCGUAGGCGGUGCGGUCAGUUGGGUGUGAAAUCCCUCGGCUCAACCGAGGAACUGCGCCCAAUACUGCCGUACUUGAGGGAGACAGAGGUAAGCGGAACUGAUGGUGGAGCGGUGAAAUGCGUUGAUAUCAUCAGGAACACCAGUGGCGAAGGCGGCUUACUGGGUCUCUUCUGACGCUGAGGCACGAAAGCUAGGGGAGCGAACGGGGGAUUAGAUACCCCGGUAGUCCUAGCUGUAAACGAUGAGCACUUGAUCGGAGACUCCUCCAUAGGUUUCCGGUCGUAGCGAAAGUGUUAAGUGCUCCGCCUGGGGAGUAUGGUCGCAAGGCUG